rnacentral:sRNA from 1 species
UUGAACAAGAAAAAGGGGACUUGUUGCUGCGACCACUGGGCGUGUUGCACGGUCUUCUUUUUCUAUCCUUAUAAGCAAACACACCCCAAGUGCACCCUUUGUAGGUCGCUCUCCUAGUGAUCUACGUAUUUUCAUUCAUUCUCCAACGUGUUGUCGUAUGUCCAUGAAAUGAACAUAAUAAAUACAACUUUCAGCGAUGGAUCUCUUGGCUCUCGCAUCGAUGAAGAACGCAGCGAAUCGCGAUAUGUAAUGUGAAUUGCAGAUUUUCAGUGAAUCAUCGAAUCUUUGAACGCACUUUGCGCCCCUUGGUAUUCCGAGGAGCAUGCCUGUUUGAGUGUCAUUAAUUUCUCAACCAUGUUCCUUGAUUGGAAACAUGGCUUGGACAUUGAGGGCUUGUCGGCCUUUACAAGGUCGGCUCUCUUGAAAUGCAUUAGCGAUCCGUCGUGCAACGGGGGACAGUAUGGUCCUGAGACAUGCACGGUCUCGUCGACGUGAUAAAAAUUGAAUCAUCAUCGUCGGCCAGAGCCCUGGGCAUGAUCGAGAACCUUAUCCCUUGUGAACGACCCUGUGACACAUCGCUUCCAAUCACUAUCUAUUCUUUUUGACCU